rnacentral:rRNA from 1 species
UACGAAAGGUCCAAGCGUUACUCGGAAUUACUGGGCGUAAAGCGUGUGUAGGCGGCCUCGUAGGUCGGAUGUGAAAGCUCUCGGCUCAACCGGGAAAGUGCAUUCGAAACCACAGGGCUUGAGUGUCGGAGAGGAAGGCGGAAUUGUCGGUGUAGAGGUGAAAUUCGUAGAUAUUCGGAAGAACACCAGUGGCGAAGGCGGCUCACUGGACUGGUAUUGACGCUGAGGUGCGAAAGCGUGGGGAGCAAACAGG